rnacentral:rRNA from 1 species
UACGGAGGGUGCAAGCGUUAUCCGGAUUCACUGGGUUUAAAGGGUGUGUAGGCGGGUAUUUAAGUCAGUGGUGAAAUCUCCAGGCUCAACCUGGAAACUGCCAUUGAUACUAUUUAUCUUGAAUCCUGUUGAGGUGGGCGGAAUAUAUCAUGUAGCGGUGAAAUGCCUUAGAUAUGAUAAUAGAACACCGAUUGCGAAGGCAGCUCACUAAACAGGCAUUGACGCUGAGGCACGAAAGCGUGGGGAUCAAACAGG